rnacentral:pre_miRNA from 1 species
UUAACCCAUUUAACAACUCAACCCAUAAAAUUAAAUGAGUUAUGGGUUGACCCAAACCCAUUUAACAAAAUGAGUUGGGUCAACCCAUAACUCAUUUAACCCUAUACUCAUUUGAUUAUGAGU